rnacentral:rRNA from 1 species
UAGCUGUGUUGUGCGUUUGACGCGUGGCUUCCGGAGCUAACGCGUUAAGUCCACCGCCUGGGGAGUACGGCCGCAAUGUUAAAAACUCAAUGAAAUGACGGGGGCCCCGCCAACCGGGGAGACAUUGGUUUUAAUUCAAUGCAACCGCAAAAAACUUACCUGGUUGAGAUAUCGGCUGACUUUCUGAAAUGUGUGCUUGCCUUUCGCUGGACCAGUGACAGGUGCUGCAUGGUUGUCGUCAGCUCGUGUCGUGAGAUGUUGGGUUAAGUCCCGCAACGAGCGCAACCCUCGCCCUUAGUUGCCAUCAUUGAGUUGGGCACUCUAAGGGGACUGCCGGUGAUAAACCGAAAGAAAGGUGGGGUUAAGUUCAAUCCUUAUGGGCCCUAAGAGGCUGGGUACCCACCUGGCACAAUGGAUGGUACAAAUAGAAACCACCCCCCCAAAUGAAGCCGACCUCAUAAAACCCAUCUCAGUUCGGAUUGCAUCUGCAACUCGACUCCAUGAAGUUGGAAUCGCUAGUAAUCGCGGAUCAGAAUGCCGCGGGUGAAUACGUUC